rnacentral:rRNA from 1 species
CAGCCGCCGCGGUAAUACGUAGGUGGCAAGCGUUGUCCGGAAUUAUUGGGCGUAAAGCGCGCGCAGGCGGUUCCUUAAGUCUGAUGUGAAAUCUCGCGGCUCAACCGCGAGCGGCCAUUGGAAACUGGGGAACUUGAGUGCAGGAGAGGGGAGCGGAAUUCCACGUGUAGCGGUGAAAUGCGUAGAGAUGUGGAGGAACACCAGUGGCGAAGGCGGCUCUCUGGCCUGUAACUGACGCUGAGGCGCGAAAGCGUGGGGAGCGAACAGGAUUAGAUACCCUGGUAGUCCACGCCGUAAACGAUGAGUGCUAAGUGUUAGAGGGUAUCCACCCUUUAGUGCUGUAGCAAACGCAUUAAGCACUCCGCCUGGGGAGUACGGCCGCAAGGCUGAAACUUAAAGGAAUUGGCGGG